ensembl:lncRNA
ACAGAGAUAGAUUCUGAGUUACAGUAUACAGUAGUUAAAAGGGUAGACAGAGAGAUAGAUUCUGAGUUACAGUAUACAGUAGUUAAAAGGGUAGACAGAGAGAUAGAUUCUGAGUUACAGUAUACAGUAGUUAAAAGGGUAGACAGAGAGAUAGAUUCUGAGUUACAGUAUACAGUAGUUAAAAGGGUAGACAGAGAGAUAGAUUCUGAGUUACAGUAUACAGUAGUUAAAAGGGUAGACAGAGAGAUAGAUUCUGAGUUACAGUAUACAGUAGUUAAAAGGGUAGACAGAGAGAUAGAUUCUGAGUUACAGUAUACAGUAGUUAAAAGGGUAGACAGAGAGAUAGAUUCUGAGUUACAGUAUACAGUAGUUAAAAGGGUAGACAGAGAGAUAGAUUCUGAGUUACAGUAUACAGUAGUUAAAAGGGUAGACAGAGAGAUAGAUUCUGAGUUACAGUAUACAGUAGUUAAAAGGGUAGACAGAGAGAUAGAUUCUGAGUUACAGUAUACAGUAGUUAAAAGGGUAGACAGAGAGAUAGAUUCUGAGUUACAGUAUACAGUAGUUAAAAGGGUAGACAGAGAGAUAGAUUCUGAGUUACAGUAUACAGUAGUUAAAAGGGUAGACAGAGAGAUAGAUUCUGAGUUACAGUAUACAGUAGUUAAAAGGGUAGACAGAGAGAUAGAUUCUGAGUUACAGUAUACAGUAGUUAAAAGGGUAGACAGAGAGAUAGAUUCUGAGUUACAGUAUACAGUAGUUAAAAGGGUAGACAGAGAGAUAGAUUCUGAGUUACAGUAUACAGUAGUUAAAAGGGUAGACAGAGAGAUAGAUUCUGAGUUACAGUAUACAGUAGUUAAAAGGGUAGACAGAGAGAUAGAUUCUGAGUUACAGUAUACAGUAGUUAAAAGGGUAGACAGAGAGAUAGAUUCUGAGUUACAGUAUACAGUAGUUAAAAGGGUAGACAGAGAGAUAGAUUCUGAGUUACAGUAUACAGUAGUUAAAAGGGUAGACAGAGAGAUAGAUUCUGAGUUACAGUAUACAGUAGUUAAAAGGGUAGACAGAGAGAUAGAUUCUGAGUUACAGUAUACAGUAGUUAAAAGGGUAGACAGAGAGAUAGAUUCUGAGUUACAGUAUACAGUAGUUAAAAGGGUAGACAGAGAGAUAGAUUCUGAGUUACAGUAUACAGUAGUUAAAAGGGUAGACAGAGAGAUAGAUUCUGAGUUACAGUAUACAGUAGUUAAAAGGGUAGACAGAGAGAUAGAUUCUGAGUUACAGUAUACAGUAGUUAAAAGGGUAGACAGAGAGAUAGAUUCUGAGUUACAGUAUACAGUAGUUAAAAGGGUAGACAGAGAGAUAGAUUCUGAGUUACAGUAUACAGUAGUUAAAAGGGUAGACAGAGAGAUAGAUUCUGAGUUACAGUAUACAGUAGUUAAAAGGGUAGACAGAGAGAUAGAUUCUGAGUUACAGUAUACAGUAGUUAAAAGGGUAGACAGAGAGAUAGAUUCUGAGUUACAGUAUACAGUAGUUAAAAGGGUAGACAGAGAGAUAGAUUCUGAGUUACAGUAUACAGUAGUUAAAAGGGUAGACAGAGAGAUAGAUUCUGAGUUACAGUAUACAGUAGUUAAAAGGGUAGACAGAGAGAUAGAUUCUGAGUUACAGUAUACAGUAGUUAAAAGGGUAGACAGAGAGAUAGAUUCUGAGUUACAGUAUACAGUAGUUAAAAGGGUAGACAGAGAGAUAGAUUCUGAGUUACAGUAUACUGUAGUUAAAAGGGUAGACAGAGAGAUAGAUUCUGAGUUACAGUAUACAGUAGUUAAAAGGGUAGACAGAGAUAGAUUCUGA